CUAGUGUCUAAUGCUUAGGUACUCCAUCUUUAUCAGAGUCUAAUAGAAAUUCAGGAAUUGGUUUUCAAAUGGUAUAUAAUUCUUCUCUGUAGAUGUCAUGGACUUUCUUUGUAAACCUAAGGAAGUGUGUUGAGAUUUUUCCAGUGGAGCUUUCCCCAAAUGCUACACAAAAUUAUUGUUCACAACUGAUAGUUCACAACUGAUGUUCCAGCACCAACUACGUUAUAGAGAGGGAUAGGAGAACUUUAUGCCGAAAAAAACUGGACCAGUAAUGGACAUCCAUCAUGGUUGUAAGGAGGUAGCCACAGAGAGGUAACUUAUAUUGUCUCCUGCCUUGACAUCAGAAUUCAUCCAUGUAAUGUCUUCACCAUAGAAAGCACUUUGUGCACCCUCUCUAGUUAGACCCACCCAGCACCCUUGAGGAGAGCAGAAUCGUACUAUUCUCAUCUGACUGUUGAC